GCUAGUGUAGUGUAGUGGUUUGAGUGUUGGACUAUGACCCUGGAGACCAGGGUUCAAUUCCCAGCUCAGCC